AAAGCGGACGCUCCCUGCUCUCGCUCUCUUUCCUCUGCAGCACGCGCGUGUUCGGCCUGCCUCAGACACGCAGGACAGAUCAGCUCAAGUAAAGCGUGUUCAUCAUGAAUUGCACGCAAAGAUCCGAUCGCAGCGCUUGCAGACCACCAUGAUAAAUGCUGAAUUCAACGCGACUUGAUCAUGAUUAUCUGCUGGCUGGCUUAUCACUGUGUGAUAAUUAGGCGCAGUUCAUGAAAAUGGUGAACAUCUGCAUCUAAACGCUGAUUCAGCACUGAUCAGAUGGAGCUGAAACCACCAUGAAGUGUCCUGAUUCACCUAGAUAUAGAGCUGUACGUAUGCGCUCAGUGGUGACUGUGGUGAAUGAUGUCAGACCAUGAAACAUCAUCUUUUUACAACAUUUAUUAACAAAUAAAGCAUAUCAAAACGA